GACGAACGCUGGCGGCGUGCUUAACACAUGCAAGUCGAACGGAAAGGCCCUGCUUUUGUGGGGUGCUCGAGUGGCGAACGGGUGAGUAACACGUGAGUAACCUGCCCUUGACUUUGGGAUAACUUCAGGAAACUGGGGCUAAUACCGGAUAGGAGCUCCUGCUGCAUGGUGGGGGUUGGAAAGUUUCGGCGGUUGGGGAUGGACUCGCGGCUUAUCAGCUUGUUGGUGGGGUAGUGGCUUACCAAGGCUUUGACGGGUAGCCGGCCUGAGAGGGUGACCGGCCACAUUGGGACUGAGAUACAGCCCAGACUCCUACGGGAGGCAGCAGUGGGGAAUAUUGCACAAUAGGCGGAAGCCUGAUGCAGCAACGCCGCGUGCGGGAUGACGGCCUUCGGGUUGUAAACCGCUUUCGCCUGUGACGAAGCGUGAGUGACGGUAAUGGGUAAAGAAGCACCGGCUAACUACGUG
rnacentral:rRNA from 1 species